AAGGCUGCUGAUUUCUCUGCUGGAUAGAAAGCUCCCAGCAAGGGAUUAACCUUUCUUAUCUGCAAAACAGGUUGUCAGGGGAACUGCUUCUCUGCUGUCCUCACAUUUCCCUGCAGAGUCUUCCACUGGAAUAAUACUUCUGUUCUCUCCCACCUCCCCUACUCAUCUGCAUGUGGCAGGGAGUGUGGCUUAUCUGGCAGGGGAGAAAGGAGAACGGUUAGGGCCCAUGCAUGGCUCAAAGGACCUUCUCUUCAUUUUUUCUGGAGAGUUUUCCUGUCGGCAUAGCCUGUGUUUUCUACUUCCAUGGGGUAAGGACCCAGAACUUCUCUUCUGGAGGUUAAGAGUCCCACUCUGACCCCAAACAGGCAGAGGGGAAAAGAGUAACGUUGGAGUUGAAAAGCCUGGCAGACACCACGUUCGACUGAGUGAUCAGAGUGAGCGCCGCCAGCCAUGAAACACACUGAAUCUGGAACAAUGGGCCUCAGCCGAAGAACCCAGAAGACAGAGGAAAAAGUUUUUCCUUCCCUAUAUGGGAGUGUGAGAGCCCAACUCUGCCUCAAGAGAGAAGAAAGUCUAAGGAGUUACUUGUGCUCCAGAGCUCCCUGGGAAUCAGACAGAGAGCCUAAUGGACCUGGAGGAAAAUAAAAACCCAACUCCAUUUCCCCCUAGCCACCCUGUCCUAGCUCAGGGAAAAACUGAGAAACUGAAUGAAGCUCACAGUCCAGGGCACAGGCUCAAGACAGACUGGGUCCUAAUCACAGGUCUACACACUGAGUCCUAAUCACAGGGCUAUGGAACCCUUCCCUUCCCCACACCUCACCAAAGGCCUAUUUGCCACCGUUUGUGACCCAGUGCAUCACAUCUGGCUAUCAACAAACAAUCACAAGGCAUAAAAAAAGGUAAAGACCACAGUCUGAAAAGACAGAGCAAAUGUCAGAACCAGACUCAGCUAUGGCACGGAUGUUGGAACUAUGAGACUGGGAAUUUAAAAUAACUAUGAUUCAUGUGCUAAGGGCUCUAAUGGAUAAAGUGGACAGUAAGCAAGAACAGAUGGGCAAUGUAAAUAGAGAGAUCAAAGUUCUGAGAAAGAAUAAAAGAGAAAUGCGAGAGAUCAAAAACACUAACAAAUGAAGGAUGCUUCUCACGGGCUCAUUAGUAGGCUGGGCACAGCUGAGAAAGACUCUCUGAGGCUGAGGAUAUCUCAAUAGAAACAUCCAAAACUGAAAAGCAAAGGAAAAAAAUGCUGAAUGAAAAAGGCAUAGAAUAUCCAAGGACUGUGGGAUAAUUAGAAAAGGUAUAUGUUUAAUAGGAAUACCAAAAGGAGAAGACAGAGAGAAAGGAACAGAUGGAAAGUUGGAAACAAUAAUGACUGAAAAUCAGACACCAAACCACAGAUCCAGGAACCUCAGAGAACACCAACCACGAUGAAUGUCAAAAUUAAGCCUAGCCAUAUCGUUUUCAAACUACAGAAAAAUCAGAUAGGGAAAAAAAUCCCAAAAGAUGCCAAAGGUGAAAAACACCUUACUUCCUUAGAGGAACAAAGGUAAGAAUUUCAUCUGACUUCAUGGAAACCAUGCAAGCAAGAAGACAGUGGAGUGAAAUAUUGAAUGUGUUGAGAAAAAAACUCCACCAAUCUAGCAUUCUAUACUCUGUGACAUUAUCCUCCAAGAGUAAAGGAGACUUAAAGGCUUUCUCAGACAAACAAAAAUUCAGGGAAUUUGUUGCUAGCAGAUCUGCCUUGUUAAAUGUUCAAAGAAGUUAUUCAAGGCAAUAAAAAUUGUUAUAGGUCAGAAGGUCAUAUCUACAUAACAAAAGAAAGAACAUCAGAGAAGAAAUAAGUGAAGGUAAAAUGAAAUUUUUAACUUGUUAUUCUUAAUCUAACAGAUCAAUUUGUUCAAAAUUAUUGUAGCCACAAUGUAUUAACAUAUAUACAAAUGUGCUACCGAGCCAUGAAAAGAUAUGAAGGAAACAAAUGCAUAUUACUAAGUAAAAGAAGCCAAUCUGAGAAAAGCUAUGUAAUAUAUAAUUCCCACCACAGGACUCACUGGAAAAGGUAAAACUAAGGAGGCAAUAAAAGGAUUAGUGGUUGUCCGGGGUUAGGGUGUGGGAGGGAUGAACAGGUAGAGCACAGAGGAUUUUUUAGGGCAGCGAUUCUUUAUGAUAUGACAAUGGUAGAUACAGCUCAGACAUUUGUCAAAACCCAUAGAAUGUGCAAAUGAAAAGUGAACCCUGAUGUGAACUAUGGACUUUGAGUGAUAAUGACGUGUCCAUGGAGGUUCUUUGACUGCAACAAACAUGCCACUUUGGUAGAGAAUGUCGAUCAAGGGGGAGGCUGUGCAUGUGUAGGGGCAGGGGGCAUAUGGAAAUCUCUGUACUUUCCACUUAAUUUUGCAGUGAACCUAAAACUGCUCUAAAAAGCAAAGUCUAUUAAAGGAAAUUCACAAUAACCUAAAACAGAUGUAGGCUAGAUUUGGCCAGAGGGCUACAGUUUGUCGAAUCUUGACUUAGAAUAAGUCCUUCGUUGAAGAAGUAAAAACAAUAACAAAAACCACCAACCAAAGUGUGUUCCACUUACUGCUGCUGCAUAAUAAAUCACCCCCAAACAACUCUUUGAUUUUGCAUAAUCGUGUGGGUCAGGAAUUUUGGAAGGGCAUCUGCUGGGCAGUUGUCGAUCACUGUAGUCAGAUAUUGGCUGGGGCUGCAGCCACCUGAGGGCACAAGGGCCAGACAUCCAUGAUGCUCACUCCCGUGGCCUGGCAGCGGAUGGUGACUCUUGUCUGGGGGCACAGCUAGGCAGUCUGCUGGAGCACCACAUGAGGCCUCUCCAGCAAGGAGUUUUCUCAAUGCUGCAUGCUGCCCCCACAGCAAGCAACCCAAGAAAACCGGGUGAAAGCUACAUGGCCUUUCCUUUUCUAGUGCUGAGAAGCCUCAGAGUAACUUCUUCCCCAUUCUUCUGGUUACAAGAGAAUCACGAGCCAGUCCCACGUCAAGGGGAGGGAAGGUAGACACCACCUCUGAUGGGAAGCAUGUCAAAGACACUGUGGCUAAUUUUUAAAAUAAAGCAAUGUUGA